CCUACGGGAGGCAGCAGUGAGGAAUAUUGGUCAAUGGGCGCUAGCCUGAACCAGCCAAGCAGCGUGAAGGAAGACUGCCCUAUGGGUUGUAAACUUCUUUUAUAUGGGAAUAAAGUCCAGUAUGUGUACCGCUCUGCAUGUAUCUUAUGAAUAAGGAUCGGCUAACUCCGUGCCAGCAGCCGCGGUAAUACGGAGGAUGCGAGCGUUAUCCGGAUUUAUUGGGUUUAAAGGGUGCGUAGGCGGGUUGUUAAGUCAGUUGUUAAAUUUGGGGGCUCAACCUUAAAAGUGCAGUUGAUACUGGCAGACUUGAGUACAGUAGAGGUAGGCGGAAUGCGUGGUGUAGCGGUGAAAUGCUUAGAUAUCACGAAGAACUCCGAUUGCGAAGGCAGCCUGCUGGACUGUAACUGACGCUGAGGCACGAAAGUGUGGGGAUCAAACAGGAUUAGAUACCCCAGUAGUC
rnacentral:rRNA from 1 species